rnacentral:rRNA from 1 species
CGGCGAGCGAAAAGAAAAUAGUUCAGCACUAAGUCACUUUGUCUUUAUGGCAAAUGUGAGAUGCAGUGUAUGGAAUGUCAAAUUUCUAGUAUGAGAAAUUAACGAUUUAAGUCCUUCUUAAAUGAGACCAUUUACCCAAAGAGGGUGCCAGGCCCGUAUAACGUUAAUGAUUACUAGAUGGCAUUUCCAAAGAGUCGUGUUGCUUGAUAGUGCAGCACUAAGUGGGUGGUAAACUCCAUCUAAAACUAAAUAUAACCAUGAGACCGAUAGUAAACAAGUACCGUGAGGGAAAGUUGAAAAGAACUCUGAAUAGAGAGUUAAAUAGUACGUGAAACUGCUUAGAGGUUAAGCCCGAUGAACCUGAAUAUCCGUUAUGGAAAAUUCAUCUUUAUGAUUUUAAUAUUUAUAAUAUUAUAAUAAUGGUGUGCAUUUUUUCUAUAAAGGACAUUGUAAUCUAUUAACAUAAAUAUAUUUAUCAUAAGAUCAUUUGCUUAAGUUUAUUCAAAUUAUUUUGCUUGCAUUUUAAUAUCGAAUAAAUGCUUUUGAUUUGAUAAAGUGUUGAUAGAUUUAUUAUAUAUAGUGCUUAAAUAUUUAUAUUUUAUAAUAGCAUAUUGAUCAUUGAUCUUUAUGUUUAUUAUAUGCACUUAUAUGAUU